rnacentral:rRNA from 1 species
UAACGCGUAGGUAACCUGCCUGGUAGCGGGGGAUAACUAUUGGAAACGAUAGCUAAUACCGCAUAACAGUAGAUAUUGCAUGAUAUCUGCUUGAAAGGUGCAAUUGCAUCACUACCAGAUGGACCUGCGUUGUAUUAGCUAGUUGGUGGGGUAACGGCUCACCAAGGCGACGAUACAUAGCCGACCUGAGAGGGUGAUCGGCCACACUGGGACUGAGACACGGCCCAGACUCCUACGGGAGGCAGCAGUAGGGAAUCUUCGGCAAUGGACGGAAGUCUGACCGAGCAACGCCGCGUGAGUGAAGAAGGUUUUCGGAUCGUAAAGCUCUGUUGUAAGAGAAGAACGAGUGUGAGAGUGGAAAGUUCACACUGUGACGGUAUCUUACCAGAAAGGGACGGCUAACUACGUGCCAGCAGCCGCGGUAAUACGUAGGUCCCGAGCGUUGUCCGGAUUUAUUGGGCGUAAAGCGAGCGCAGGCGGUUAGAUAAGUCUGAAGUUAAAGGCUGUGGCUUAACCAUAGUACGCUUUGGAAACUGUUUAACUUGAGUGCAAGAGGGGAGAGUGGAACUCCAUGUGUAGCGGUGAAAUGCGUAGAUAUAUGGAGGAACACCGGUGGCGAAAGCGGCUCUCUGGCUUGUAACUGACGCUGAGGCUCGAAAGCGUGGGGAGCAAACAGGAUUAGAU